CCUACGGGAGGCAGCAGUGGGGAAUAUUGCACAAUGGGCGCAAGCCUGAUGCAGCCAUGCCGCGUGUGUGAAGAAGGCCUUCGGGUUGUAAAGCACUUUCAGCGGGGAGGAAGGCGGUGAGGUUAAUAACCUCAUCGAUUGACGUUACCCGCAGAAGAAGCACCGGCUAACUCUGUGCCAGCAGCCGCGGUAAUACGGAGGGUGCAAGCGUUAAUCGGAAUUACUGGGCGUAAAGCGCACGCAGGCGGUCUGUCAAGUCGGAUGUGAAAUCCCCGGGCUCAACCUGGGAACUGCAUUCGAAACUGGCAGGCUAGAGUCUUGUAGAGGGGGGUAGAAUUCCAGGUGUAGCGGUGAAAUGCGUAGAGAUCUGGAGGAAUACCGGUGGCGAAGGCGGCCCCCUGGACAAAGACUGACGCUCAGGUGCGAAAGCGUGGGGAGCAAACAGGAUUAGAUACCCGAGUAGUC
rnacentral:rRNA from 1 species